CCUACGGGAGGCAGCAGUGGGGAAUCUUGCACAAUGGGGGAAACCCUGAUGCAGCAACGCCGCGUGAGUGAAGAAGUAUUUCGGUAUGUAAAGCUCUAUCAGCAGGGAAGAAAAUGACAGUACCUGACUAAUAAGCCCCGGCUAACUACGUGCCAGCAGCCGCGGGAAUACGUAGGGGGCAAGCGUUAUCCGGAUUUACUGGGUGUAAAGGGAGCGUAGACGGCUGCGCAAGGCAGUAGUGAAAGCCCGGGGCUCAACCGCGGGACUGCUUUUGAAACUGUGUAGCUAGAGUGCAGGAGAGGUAAGUGGAAUUCCUAGUGUAGCGGUGAAAUGCGUAGAUAUUAGGAGGAACACCGGUGGCGAAGGCGGCUUACUGGACUGUAACUGACGUUGAGGCUCGAAAGCGUGGGGAGCAAACAGGAUUAGAUACCCGAGUAGUC
rnacentral:rRNA from 1 species